UGAAUUCUAAGGUAUGCAUAUUGUUUGCCUUUAUUCUUUUCCAUAUGUAUAUGUGUGAUAGAGGAUUAUAUGUAUUGGUUGUUAUUGAAAGGUGAUGGAAAUAGGGUUAUGGACUAUGUUGCAUGGUUUGGUUGUAUUUAAUUGUGUAAGGUGGAUAUGGUAAUUGAGUUAUGGCAGGUGGAUAUGGUGAUAUACUAUUGAAUUGAUGAUUAUUUAUGUCGAGGGCUCAAUUUGGUUUAAUGGAUUGGUUGGAAGGAUAAAUGAAUCCAAACUUGAUAUUGGAGGAUGUUGUAUGAAUAUGCAUGGCAUGUGAAUGUAAUUGGAGUAUAAGAGGGUUAAAGUGACACCCUUUAUGGUGUAAUUAAGGCUUACUACUUAACCACUAGUUUGGUGAAUUCAAAUAAUUGAAUUGUGACGUUUGGUCGCUAAUACUAGAUUGCUAUAUAUGUUCAUUGUAGAUAAGUAAUCCGAAAAGACGAGAAGUCCAUUUGGGACUAGUAUUGAAGGUUGACAGUCAGGUAUGUAAAGCAUACUCUAUACCAUAUCUUUGGCAUGAAAGUGAACAAUUGUUCUAUUAAGAAAGUUUCCAAAGUUAUUCAGUAACAUGUGAUCCAUAAUGGUUUUGUAUGAUGUCCUACGUUACCAAUGAACUUGUUUCCACUCUACAAGAUGUAAAGACAUUCCCAUACUUACUUGUUUUCCAAAUCUUACAUGUUUAUUGCACUAAUGAAUGUCAGAAGGUAUCCGGUUACUCAAACAAGAUCCAUGUGCUAUUAAUGACUCCAAAACGUUUCGUUGAUAUACUAAUAAGUUCCUACUUCAUUGUUAUGGCAUUGAUGACUCCAAAACACUUCAUUGAUGUGCCAAUGAGUUCUUACUUCAUCAUUAUUCCAUUGAGGGUCUAUUUAUAUGUCUCUUAUUGAUGUAUCAUUGUUACAAAGUAUCAAAAAUGCGGCGGCGACCGAAAUAACAAUCUCAAAAAUUCAUUGAACUAAGUGAUGGAAGUUCUCUCUUAUUGGAUGGUAUCCCAGGGACAUAAGCCUAUCAUGGGUUGAUCCCUAUUUAUGUGUUUAUGUGUGGUAUCCCAAGGGCAUAAGCCUAUCAUGGGUCGAUCCCAGUUGAUAUGUACUGGAGGCAGCCAAAUGGUCACAGUAUAGUACAGUAAUGAUUACAAAGAUGAUAAGAACNNNNNNNNNNNNNNNNNNNNNNNNNNNNNNNNNNNNNNNNACAAGUUCUAGUAAGUGUGGUCCACUCCUAUUACGAUUUAUUCACUUGUUUCUAAUUUUUAUUGAGCUCCUAUAUCAUAUGUGAUUUUAUACAGCUUUACAUACUCAGUAUAUAUUUUGUACUGACGUCCCCCACAGGGGACCUGCAUUUCAUGCUGCAGGCACAGGUACUUCAGCUCAUACACCGCACAAGUAGGAGUCAGGAUAUCCAGCUGGUUUUGGUGAGCUCCAGUUUGCUUCGGGGCUUUCCGUGUCAUGUCCAGUCACUUUUGGUAUUGUAUAGAAGUUAGUUAUAUGGCGGGGUGUGUCCUGACCUUAGUUAAACUCUGUGUAUUGUAUAGAGGCUUUGUAGACCUAAUGUACAGUCAAGGUGAUGUUUCGUUAAUAGAUGUGAUGGCUCCAAUUGCCAAGUAUUGUAUAUACAUAUAUAUAUGUGUGCUCGAGCUUAUACAAGUGAUUAUUUCCUUUUAUAUACGAUAUGAUGCUGUCCGAAUUUCGAGUUGUCAUAGAGGUAUGCAUGGGAAGUAUAAGGUGAUGAGCUGGUUCUCCUGGGCCUCCUCGGUUAUGGUUCCAGUACGCCCCAAUAGGAUUUGAGGCGUGACACUUGUGAUGUUGAACUUGACUUGUAAACUACAGAAAUGGAGUCAUCUAAAGAGACAGGUUGUCGAGCUCCAGAAGACCCCGUCCUCUGCAUCAACGACUGUGAUGUUUUCGGUAGUGCAACUACGAUGAGUAUGUGUUCCAAGUGUCAAAAUGACAUAAUACUACUGAAGUAGGAACAUGCAAAUCUUACAGCUGCAUUCAACAAAAAUGUCGUAUGCAGAAGCUCAAGCAGCGAUGAAUCAGAACUUGCUCUUGCAGGUGCGGCGGUUGCAUCUGCAGAUUUUGCCUCUCAUAUUUCACAAGUGAACUCAAAAGAAGGUUUGAAAAAGUGCACAGCUUGUCAUAAGCAUGUGGGAUUAACGGGGUUCAGUUGCAAAUGUGGUGAUCUAUUUUACGCAGUUCAUCAUUAUUCAGACAAACACAACUGCCCGUUUGAUUAUAGGAAUGCUGGUCAGAAUGCAAUAGCAAAAGCAAAUCCUAUCAUCGUAGCAGAAAAGCUUAAUAAGAUCUAACAAGCACCUAUCGAAAGGUUGUAUGAACUGAAGCAAUGUCCAUAUUUCGAUGUGUAGGCCUCGUCUUACCGGGUGAUGAUGAAAGUUUUGCAUGGGGGUGGGGGUGGGGGGUACCCUAGAGCCUAGAUAAUCAUGCUGUGUAAGUUAUUUAUGAUCUUGGUGCACAUUUUCAUGGAAUUUGUUCUUGUUUUGUCCCAAUUUCUGGGCUGCUUGUUUAGUAUAAUAUGCAUAAUGUAGGUCAUCUUGAUGAAUUUCACAUUCAUACAUCUGCGUUUUGAAAUCCUGAAUUUGCCUCCGUGCAUUCUUCAAGAUUCCAAAGUCUCCUUUGAGUAUCAAUAAUGUAGAGUUUUUUUUUGUGGAGAUGUCGAUACGGGUUGGCUCAGCUUAUCCGAGCUAGCCCAGACGGGCUUUGAGUUUGACAAGUCAGGUUGGGCUAGCCUAUCAAAAUGAUGAGCCAAAAAAUAUCAAGCCCACACUAUUACUAUGUGGGUUGCGGGCCUUACGGGCCAGUCCACUUUCAAAAAAUAAUAUUUUAUAAUUUAAUUUUAGAAUGUUAAUAGACAUAAAUAUUAUCAAUCAAUAUUACAUAGUAUUAAAUACUUUUUAAUUAAGUCUCCAACACACCCCAAAAUACUCAUAAUAACAAAAUUAAAUAACUUUUGACAUAAUAUCAUUUGAACCAAAUAAAAAUACUAAUAAGCAAUCUAAAUAAUUGCAUGUAAGACGACUUUGUACGGGACAAGAAAAAUUAUAAAGAAAGGAGUCAUCGUUCAAUAGGCAAAGGUCACUCGGAGAAACCAAAAUAUAAAUCUUCUCGGGAUCAUGAUUACCAAUCUUAUUCAUCACGAGAGAAGAAUUGUAAUAGACACCAUUAGCUUAGAGCAGCCUGGCAAGAUGUUACCAUGCCCAAUAUGUUCUCUUUAUGGAGUGUAGCUACUGCUCUUUGCAUAAUAGCUGAGGGUGCCCCCUUUAUUAGUGAAACUGUACCACACCCUUUUGCAUAAACCAAGGUCUCUCAUAAUCGCGACAUUGAUUUCAACUAUUUUCAUAUAGUUCCCCUGAACAAUUAACAUCCCCAUGCUGUACAAAUAUAUUUGGUCUGCACAAACUAUUUAACAUUCAAUUAAUUAUUCUCGAAAUAGAUUUCCUAGUUUAAAAAUAAAAAUUCAUACAAAUGUGAUGGUAUGACUCCCACGUCCCUUUUCUCCUUCCUUCAAUUUACGCAGCCCUAUAUUAUGUGAUAAGAAAGUAAGAAACAAAUAGAAGGAUAAAACAACAAUAAAGCUAGAAAAAAACGUGUAAGUUUAUAUAAGCUUGUGGGACUUAUAUCAUUGUAAGUAGACUUAUUCAUGAGUACAAAAAAUACAUUAUGAUCACCAUGUCGGUACACAAAAAUAGUACUCCUAACAUAUUAGACAAAACAUCAUUGUAAAAGUUACAUGAUGAUCACUACGGCUAUACACAAAAGUAGUACAGUACUUCUACAUACUACUUGAAAAAACACCAUUCCAACUUCAAAAUAAAGAGCUUUACCAUAAUAAUAACCUAUAUCAUUGUUGAAGUAGAGCCAAAUCUUUAUUGAUGAUAUCAAUAUCACAAUGAAGUUGGAGACGAAGGUUUUCUUCUCUUUCUAGUCCAUCUUUGUUCAAAUGAGGCACUUUGUAAUUAUUGUCGCCACUAUCUUUCAUCACCUCAAUCAUACAAGACUGUAAAGUAAGAAAUACAUGAUUGAGUUGUUUCGCUUUCAUUUCAUCAAAAGAUCUUUCCACUACUUCAACUAAUUCAUCAACAUUUUUAGGGACCUUUUGAUAUUGAAGACUUUGGAUUGCUCUAAAAAAACCAAGAUCUAAAACAUUUAAAUCAGGACUAUUCGAUGGUUGAAAACACAAUCUAAUGUCAAAUCCAUCUUGUCGGGCAGCUUCAAUAAAUUCCAAAUCAUUGUUACCAAUAUGUAGCCUUGCAUUAUCUUGUUGUAAAAAGAUAGGAUUAUUUGAAUCGGAAGCUGGCCAUUUUGCUCUAAUAGCAGGAAGAACAUUCUCUAUCAAGCAAGCUCUAGUGAUAUCUUUAGUUACUGACUGAAUGGGCUUUGUUUCCAUAGUUCCUGCUGUUCGAUUUUUGCUAUUCCGCUUAGCUGGUUCCUUAACUAUAAACGAAAAAAUACCUAUUUUUCCAGAAAACAACUCAAUUCCAUUUUAAUCAAAUCGAGGACGUGCUACAACAGCCAUAAACAUAACCUUUGGAAUAAAAUUUUUACUUUUGUAAGAAUGAUACGGAUCUCGCUCAUGCCCUCCAGGAAAGCAGGUAGUACCUUUCAACUUUUUUGGACAAAAAAAACCACUUUUCGUCGAUAUGAACGUAAUUAAACAUAUUCAUAAACAUGGGAUUUAUGUGAAUUGUAUUCUGAUCAAUCAUUGAGAGGCAGUAUUGAAGUCGUACCUUUUUGUUUCCUUCGGUUAACUGAGGCUUGAUGGAAUUAGAAUGUGGCCGAAGAGUUCCAUCUUUCACACACCGAAAGACGGUUGAUUUUACGUUAUCGCAAAAGCCAGAGAUCGAAUAUUUAUUCGACGAUAAAGUGGAAUUUCUUUGACUUGAUUAAUGUCGACUCCAAUCCGUUUUCUUCCAAAUUUAAGAAAUUUAAUUGUUCCGAUUUAUUUAAUGUUUUGAAUUAGCUUUUUAAAAGUCAGUAUUGGAAGCCAAUUUCGACACUGUGAUGUUGACCCCCAAUUUUGACCUCCCAACACUACAUUUAGUCUGUUAUUUUAACAAAAUCGUUAAUUUUUAAACAUUAGUAUUUUUGCAUAAUUUCUUGCAUCAAACAGAUUUUCGACAUAUCGCAUUCAUAAUUUAGAAAAUGCAUAAAUCAUCAAUUAUCUUUUAGAAUUGUGUUUUUAUAAUAUUAUAAAAUUAAAAAUGGCGUUUUUAUAAUUUUAUUAAUUAAAUUAUUUUCACGUAAUUAUGCACACUCCCAAUUUUGCAAAAUACAUUGUCUAGUUUUGCUUUAUCUAAUACUAUUUAUUGAUAUUAUUAUUUAUUGAUAUAGUUAUUAUAUAUAUUAAUAUUAUUUAUUAUUUAUCAUUUAUUAUUAUUAUUUAUUGUUUAAUUAUUAUUUUUUUCAUUAUUAGUAUUUAUCUUUUAUUACAUUUUUUAUUAUUUAUUAUUUAAUGUUGUUAUUUAUUAUGUAAUUACUAUUAUCAUAUAUUAUUAUUAUUCCUACUUUAAUUUAAAUAACAUCCAAUUUUGUUUAAUUUCUUACAAUUAUAGCCUAUUUUUACCCAAUCCAUUACAAUCUUAACCCAAUUUCUUACAAUUUAAGCCAUUAUUUUUCAUCCUAGCCACAUUUUAAUCCCCCUAUGACAUUAAAUCCCAGCCGUCGAUCCAAAACCAAUCCAACGGUUGACAUCAAAAGAUCUCUCAUUCCCUAUUUCAAACCUACAAACCCUAACUCAAAUUUUUUCCCCAACUUCCUCCUCUAUCUCUCCACCUCUCUCUUCUCUCUCUACAAAUACCUCCAAAUCUCAAUCUCCCCCUCCUCUCCUCCGAUCUCUCCGUCGCUAAUCGACCACCAAAAUCAUCCCCUCAGCCCCAAGUCCUCGUCGCCAUGCUGCCAUCUCCGGCGAACAGCUUUCACCGUCACCUUUUCCUUCUCCUCCAUACGUGCCGCCAGCUCCUACUCCAGGCGAGUCCAGCCGCUGCUCCGAUGGCCAGACCCCUCCCUUCUUGUCCUCCACUGGCGAACAGCGCCGCCAUCAACGGAGAUGGACAGCCAAGCCUCCAUGCUGCAGCUCCAUUCUCCGUCCUCUAGUCGCCUUCUUUCUCUCCUCCGGCAAACGUCCAAAUGCCGUGAAACAGCCUCAACUCCUCUCAGACAGUGAUACCUCCGGCAAACCCCUUCGGCAUUCUAGCCAUGCAACCCUUCCUCAUCGAAAAUGAACAAUCCAUCUUCAGGUUUGAUUCGGUGUUCGAAAUAGGUGUGUGAACUUUAGUACUAUUUCUUCAUCUGUGUCUCUCAUAAGUUUGGCCACGUUUUAUUUUUGCUAAAUAAAUAUGUUGAUUUUAAGUCUGUGAUUUUUAUUCGACCCUAUUUGGAUGUCCUUCUUGAUUGAAAUUUCGUGACGCUUAACUUGAAUGGUGAGUCAAUUUGUUCGUCUCUCUCUGGUAUGUGCAAACAUGCCUAACUUCUUGCAACUUCACAUUUUUUAUGCCUCUUAGUCAAUAUGGGUUAUUUUGUAUGGGAAAAGCAUGUAUGUGACGAUUCGAGGAUUUUUUCGUAAAUCUUUAAUAAGGCUAAUAUGUGCACGUUUUGACUGUAUGGGUAUGAACCUGUACCAAUUUGAUUUGAGAAAAGCAUCUCAGUAAUUGAUUUUUUAUUUUUCGGAUUUUUUCGUAAAUCUGUAAUAAGGCUAAUAUGUGCAUGUUUUGACUGUUUGGGUAUGAUCCUGUACCAAUUUGAUUUGAGAAUAGCAUCUUAGUAAUUGUUAUUUUUCUUGCCUUACAUGGUUGACAAACAUCCCCUCACACGUUAACUAUGGUAAAUUUAGAUACCUCUUCUUGAUUUCAUUUAAUAAGUAGGAAGGAUCUCUUUUUACUUGUUCUAUUCAUGGAAAUUUCAAAUGUUAUAAUAGGGUAUUAUUUAUUUAUGGAAACUAUAGCAUGAUUGGUGGAACAGAUUGAUUUACCCCAUCCAUUGAACGGAACAAUCCCCUUAAUUGAUUCAUUAUAUGUUAUUCUUCUUNNNNNNNNNNNNNNNNNNNNNNNNNNNNNNNNNNNNNNNNNNNNNNNNNNNNNNNNNNNNNNNNNNNNNNNNNNNNNNNNNNNNNNNNNNNNNNNNNNNNNNNNNNNNNNNNNNNNNNNNNNNNNNNNNNNNNNNNNNNNNNNNNNNNNNNNNNNNNNNNNNNNNNNNNNNNNNNNNNNUUCUUUUCUUAUUCUGUAGCAUUUGUGAUAGCAAAGCAUAGAAAACAUGUCUAUAGGAACUAAUUUAAAAUAAUUAUGAUUUUGCUUUUUUCACUAUCAUAAAGAAGAUUAAAAAAAGAAAAGAAUAGCUUACUAGGGUGUACUAUAACCAGUUCUAGCUGUUUUCUUGAACAGUAGCAUAUUUGGUGCACGUUGAAGACAUUCUGGGUAUUGCUGUUUGUAUUUUCUUGUUUUGUGUUUGCUUUGUUUGACUGUGGAUUCUUGUGAAAGUUUCGUCAUAAUUGAACACAGCUCAAGGUUUUACUUUUCAUAGCUAUUUUCUACUUUCUCUCUGAUAUUUUGUUGGUUUUUUGCUUUGUUUCUUGCAUGAAAAUGUAAGUUCUUUUUCCCCAUUUUCUUUUUUUGGGCCAAGGAGGGUGAGUGAUGUGGUGGGCAGAGGGGCCAGUGGGGGGUCUUUUGUUUAAUUCUUUCCAAAUUGAUGUGAAGAUAAUGUUUGAUAGAAUCUUAUUGGGAAGACAAAGUGUGUGAAUCACAUUCAGUAGAGUGGGACAAAAGGUGAAGAAAUUUAAGAGACGAUUUUGAAGGAUGAAUGAUAGCUCAGCUAGAGAAAUGAAUGAGAAACAACCUCAAAGGCCUUCUGGUUGUGUGGGCAUUUUCUUUCAGCUCUUUGAUCAGAACCGUAGAUUUGCCAAGAAGCUGUUUUCAAAGAAACUGCUUUCACCAGGUUAGCUACUACUACAUUCCACUCAUUUUUAAAGCAGAAUGGUUAAUUACUUCAAGGUGAUUCUAGCUAGAGGGAUAAAUUAUUUCUUUUUUUGUCAUGCAUUCUUAUAGCUUGCUUGAAACAAGCUUCAAAAAAGUUUGGAGGGGAUGAGAAGCAGCCAAAGCUUCAUUUGGUACUCAUUUCUUGAACUAUACUCCCACAUUUAGCUUUUUUUUUCUUCUAUUGUCUCAGAUUUUAGCCUGACAGGAAAGUUUUAGUUUUUAUUGUUUUUGGUUCUUGUAUGAACAAUGUAGAUUGCUGAUGAGAACAGUGGGGGUUUUCCAAAUUCAAAGAAUAAUGGAAUGACUGAUACACGUUGUGAAAGCAAACGCGAAAUGAAAGCUCCAUGUUUUGUUGCUAGGCUCAUGGGUUUGGAAUCGAUGCCAGCAGGAUCAGGAAGUAAGCCACAAAAGGCUUCAGCUUCCGAAACUUGGAGCAAUCUAGCAGACAAACUUGGUGCUCGACCUGGCGGAUCUGAUAAAGAAGAUAUGGAUUUUGAGAUGGCCGAAAUAAAGAGUUCAAAACUAGGUUUGCAAAGGUUUAGAGCUAAAUGUGCUCUCACUUAUCUACUACAUAUUUUUCUCCUUUGGAUGAUGAAGCAGAUUUAGUUGGGAAUUCACUUGAUCACCAUUCAACUGAUAGCUACCUCUCCAGCUGUCCCAAUAGUAGCUCAAGUAUGGUCCCCAAUUUGACAUUUUACUAUUUGCAUACUUCCUUUCCUUCCCUCAAAUACAUAAAUUAAAAAAUAAGACAACUCUGUACUUGGAUUUCAUGCAUCCAUGCUUCCAAUAAAUAUGAUGCUUCUUUUCUUCCAGAGGACAAAGUACUUGCUGAAUCAGUGGACUCUGUUGAUGAUGAACCACUCUUUCCAGAACCUGAUAGAGAUCUUUCGGAUNNNNNNNNNNNNNNNNNNNNNNNNNNNNNNNNNNNNNNNNNNNNNNNNNNNNNNNNNNNNNNNNNNNNNNNNNNNNNNNNNNNNNNNNNNNNNNNNNNNNNNNNNNNNNNNNAGGUCAUUUUGAAUGCUGAACUCAUAUUUGGAACUACACCUCAACAGCAGGCUCUACCUGUAGAGGAUGGGUUCUCUGUGAGCCAUUUUCUCCGCAAUGAACAUGAAAUGUUUUUGAGUUUUUUGUGGAUGGCUUUCGGUGAGUUGAUUGGCUGUAAUGACCCAAAACAGAUGAAUCAGCUUAAAGGAUUCGCCUUUGAUUGUCUAUUAGAGUAGCUAGACUCAAAAUUUUCUCCAAUCUCUGAUUCUGGUUUCCGAACCUGUACCAAACUACCAUCAAGUAUGACCAAAGAGAUUCUGAUUGCUGAUAUUAUUAAUGAGGUCGAAGAGUGGACACAAUUUGUUGGUUUGGUCCCAGACGAGCUAAUAGAAUGGGAUAUGAGCCAUUCUUUGGGUAAAUGUACGGACUUCGAGAUUGAAGAAUAUGAAUGUGGCACUGAAGUUGCUAGGAAUAUUCUCAAAGAAUUAGUAGAUGAAGUUGUUUUAGACCUCUACAGCUCUAGCUAAAUUUGGUGGAACUGUUAGUAGCUCCUCUUUUUGAGACUUUGUUGCAAGCCUAUCAGUGCUGUUCUCAUGUGAUAACUCUUGACUCAAUAAUGUCAAGCAAAGUACUUUGUACUAAUCAUUGAUUCUACAUCUGAUUCGACUUGUUGUACUUGUGCUUUUGCAUUUAUGAAUAUUAAGAACAAUCCCUUCAUGAACAUCUGUUUGAAGUAGAACAUUACAAGCACAAAAUGAAAAAUUGUUGAAAAAUUAGAACAAUUUGGAAGGAAACCCAACAACCCUAAAUGGAUGCAUAUGCAAAAAUCUGUUACUACCUCCGACCCAAAUUAUGUGUCACCCGUCCCAAAAUAAAUGUCGUCUUUCCUUGUUUGGAAAUUUUUCAAAGGCACAAUUACCUUUUUACCUUUAUUGUACCCACUUGAUUUUAAAUAUAUUAAUACUUCUUUUUUAGUAUUUGGGUUUUUUAAAGUGAUAGCCUUUUCACUUCAAUGAAAUUUAAACUUUCAGCCUUUUAUUUUUACUGUAUCAAAAUUAUUUUAAACCACAGAGAGCAGUUUAUUCUUUUUGGUUUGUUAAACCAGUUUUCUUCGACAACUCAUUGUUCAUAUUACUGUGAUUUCUCGAGUAAAAAUUGGAUCUUUAAAGCUAAAGUAAAAGAAAACAAGAAUUUAGAGGGACGUCACUUUCUACAUAUAUCAUCUUGCAAUAAGAAAAAGUAACAAACACAACUACACAGAUCAAACUUCUUUUGUUUAGAACUGAAAAUUGAUUGAGACAGUGAGCUACCCAAGAGACAACAUCCUUCUCCGCUAUUUCCUGUAAUUUCACUAAUUUCACUAAUAUAUUUUUAGUUACUAAAAUUUAGCAAAUUGUUAUUUUGUGGCACCAAAUCUUCUUUUCAUUUGAGAGAUGUUCUUUUGCAUCUUCUGGUUACUGUAUCCUUUCUUUUGUUUUGGAUAAUUUCCAAAUUCUUCCUUUUAUCUCCUCUCUUAUUUUUGCCAUUACUCUAAAGAUGAGGUUAGCCGUACCUAUAGACUCAACCUUAAGAAAUAAACGAUUGAAAUUAGAAGAACGUCAAGCAACUGCAAAUUUUCUUUUGAAAGAAAGUAAGGAAGGAAGUCUUAAAUACGGAUCUAUAAUACAAGCUGCGAUGUUGUUCAAGAAAUCAAUAAGAACUAUUCAGCGCAUAUGGAAACAAUGUCAAUCAUCAGUUGAUAAUGGUAUGUCGUCGUUAGAUAUGCCUUUAAGACUUACAGGUAAAGUUGGAAGAAAACGGAUUGGAGUCGACAUUAAUCAAGUCAAAUAAAUUCCAUAACUUCUUUCACUCGACAUUUACGCGUGUCCAUAUUCCAUACUGCCUAUUCAUCAAAAUGAAUAUUUGGUAGAGAUGUAUACCUCUUCGCGUCCAGAUUAUCCACUUCAAGAAAGUAGUGUUAUUGAUACAGGGAAAAUCAUAGGUGCGAAGUACUUAAUGGUUCUUCUUUUCUAUUGCUAAGAGGAAAGAAAACUACUUCACGUGUGACUCCAACGAGAAAGUUCUAAAUUUCUACUUCAGUUCAAUCCUACUUGUCAGCUCACGUCAUUUUUUUUUUUCGAAGCUCCUCUUGCGGAUGCUUGGUGCUUCGAACUCAAACCUUGAGUUAAGACAUUGGGGCAUAUAUAUUAUUCUGUUGAAACAAUCUUCUCCAAAACCUAAGUUCAUCAGAUGCAAACCAGCAUUCAUGCAGAUAAGAAUGAAGAUUUCUAAAGGUUUCCAUCGAUAGAAUUCAUAGGAUGCUCAAUGCAUUGGUCAGGACAAUCACCACUUACAUAGUCCAGCAUGCUAAACACUCUUAGAAGAAAAAAGGUUUGCAUGGCAACACACGCUUCAAGUCGUAUGAUAAGUUAGUUAAAAUGUAACAGCAAAGGAAGAAUGUUGUGGUAUGAGAGUGAUAAUCCAAGAUGUUUAGAAGCAGACCAAUUGAAAUAGAACAACAACAACAAGAAGCCCAGUGUAUCUGGGGAGGGUAAAAUGUACACAGUCCAUACCGCUACCCCCGAAGAAGUAGAGAGGUUGUUUCCGAUAGACCCCCAACAAUUCAAAUAGAAGAACAUCAAUAAAAAUCAGUUUAUCAAAUACUUUAUGAUGGAACACCUCAUACAAUGUAGCUCACUACCGAAACUAUGAGGAGAACUAUUCAAUUAGACAAAAAUCUAGGAAGUACGAGAUAUUGAAUGUAUGUAUUAUUCUGAAUUGCUUUAUAUUUCAUAAACGCGAUGUUCCUUGGUUGAAGUUUUUGUUUGUCCCUUUGUUGUUUCGUGAUGUACUUAACGAACUUUUUGUAACACCCCGUAUUCAAGUACAUGUAUUGGCGUAUUCAAGUACGUGUGUUGGUCUUAUUUAUAUGGAGUUGGUUUUUUUUUUAAUUUAUACCGGAAUUUGCCCGUCGAUGGUUCCAUACGAAGGUUAUUGAAUAAGCUUUCCAACGAUAUAAAGAUUUCCAAAAACGGAUAGGUUUAGGAUAUAAUUGAGUAUGUUCGAAACUAUAAAACGGUGGCCUGGAUAUUUGGGAAUAGUAAAUGUGUAGGAAAAUUUCCUGCACACAAACUAAUGAGGCCAGCCGAAUUUUUGGGUCAAUUUCGAACGAUCAUAACUACCUUAAUAUAAUAAAAUGGGAGAGCUACGACCUAAGAAAAGAAAUAUCUUUGAGUCUUCUUUCCAAUGCAAUUGGUUUCAUCAAAAUCCAACGUCUGAGUAAGGAGUUAUACUCGUUUUACUUCAGCCUAUCAAUACAGAUUUUUAGGGUCAUCUUUAAAUGACCAUACCUCCUUGCACAAGAUGAACUGGGUGGCCUACUUCAUAUGAAAUGAAAUCCCUUUGAAUUAUCCUUCCAACGAUACCAAUUUCACCCAAAUCCAAUAUUGGAGUAAAGAGUUAUGGUUGAUCUACUUUAGCUUAUCAAAACAGUCCACCAAAGGACAAUUUGACAUUAUUUAAAUUUUAAAGGCAUUUUGGUCAUUUCCUAUUAUAUUAUGGAUGGGAAUAUGUGUAUAUAUACAUUUAUAUGAGUUCAAAAACUCAUUUUCAUCAUCAAUCAUUGAGAAAGAACAAACCCUAGCCAAAUUUGACCUUUAAAUUACUUUUGAUUCAACCGUAGAAAUUCCAAAGUAAUCCGAUAACUGUGUUUGUCAUCUCGAGAGCUUCGAACGGCUCCUAUUGUUUGUGGAAACAGGAUUGAAAAAUCAAGAGGUGAAUUCUAAGGUAUGAAUAUUGUUUUCCUUUAUUCUUUUCCAUAUCUAUAUGUGUGAUAGAGGAUUAUAUGUAUUGGUUGUUAUUGAAAGGUGAUGGAAAUAGGGUUAUGGACUAUUUUGCAUGGUUUGGCUGUAUUGAAUUGUGGAAGGUGGAUAUGGUAAUUGAGUUAUGGAAGGUGGAUAUGGUGAUAUACUAUUGAAUUGAUGAUUAUUUAUGUCUAUGGCUCAAUUUGGUUUAAUGGAUUGGUUGGAAGGAUAAAUGAAUCCAAACUUGAUAUUGGAGGAUGUUGUAUGAAUAUGCAUGGCAUGUGAAUGUAAUUGGAGUAUAAGAGGGUUAAAGUGACACCCUUUAUGGUGUAAUUAAGGCUUACUACUUAACCACUAGUUUGGUGAAUUCAAAUAAUUGAAUUGUGACGUUUGGUCGCUAAUACUAGAUUGCUAUAUAUGUUCAUUGUAGAUAAGUAAUCCGAAAAGACGAGAAGUCCAU
rnacentral:lncRNA from 1 species